AAGUAAACAUGAGUUGCCGUCUCAUAUUUAAUUCCGUUGAGACGUUCAAUCUGUUGGUUUGUUCGAGACGUGAAUUUUCGUAAAAAUUAUUUAUUCUUACGAACUUUUGGGAACGUUAAGAUAUGAACGGAGAGACAUGUUUUAGGAUCUCGUAUCAUUUUUUAGAUAUCAUGUCUUGAGAUGUUAGAGACCAAUGCGAUGGGUUUAGGGCAAGACCUAGGUUUACUCUCAGUUUUAAGGUUUGUGCGGUGACUAGCCGGCUAUCGAUU
rnacentral:lncRNA from 1 species